CCUACGGGUGGCAGCAGUGGGGAAUAUUGGACAAUGGGCGCAAGCCUGAUCCAGCCAUACCGCGUGGGUGAAGAAGGCCUUCGGGUUGUAAAGCCCUUUUGUUGGGAAAGAAAUCCGGCUGGCUAAUACCCGGUUGGGAUGACGGUACCCAAAGAAUAAGCACCGGCUAACUUCGUGCCAGAAGCCGCGGUCAUACGAAGGGUGCAAGCGUUACUCGGAAUUGCUCGGCGUAAAGCGUGCGUAGGUGGUCGAUUAAGUCCGUUGGGAAAGCCCUGGGAUCAACCUGGGAACUACAGUGGAUACUGGGCGACUAGAGUGUGGUAGAGGGUACAGGAAUUCGUGGGGUAGCAGUGAAAUGCGUAGAGAACAGGAGGAACAUCCAUGGCGAGGGCAGGUACCUGGACCAACACUGACACUGAGGCACGAAUGCGUGGGGAGCAAACAGGAUUAGAUACCCUGGUAGUC
rnacentral:rRNA from 1 species